rnacentral:rRNA from 1 species
UACAGAGGUCCCGAGCGUUGUUCGGAUUCACUGGGCGUAAAGGGUGCGUAGGUGGCAUGGUAAGUUUGAUGUGAAAGCUCAGGGCUCAACCCUGAAAUGGCAUUGAAUACUACUGUGCUGGAGGUUUGGAGGGGGGACUGGAAUUCUUGGUGUAGCAGUGAAAUGCGUAGAUAUCCGGAGGAAUACCAAAGGCGAAGGCAGUGUCCUGGAGGGUGACUGACGCUGAGGCGCGAAAGCUAGGGGAGCGAACAGG